AAACCACCCCCCCCAAAACAUCAGACAUAAAGCCACCCCAACUUCAAACUUUAUAAGUCCUAAACGCAUAUUUAAAAUAAGACUACAACCGAAGUCUCAAAUUUAACCCAAUUAAAACACAAAAAGAGGCCCCGCCUCAAGACCUUAAACCAAACCUAUAACCCGAAACAUCCAAACAGAAGCCCACAACCACAAGACCAUGACUUAAAUACCACAAACUUAGGACUUANGGUACUACUAAAACCAGAGCCUUCCCAGGAACUUAGGUUACUACUAAACCAGCAGCCUUCAAAGCUUCUAAAAAGAGUACAAACCUCUUAGCUCCUG
rnacentral:tRNA from 1 species